rfam:Ovis aries breed Texel chromosome 2, whole genome shotgun sequence.
UCCCCAGUGGCUCAGAGGGUAAAGAAUCUGCCUGCAAUGUGGGAGACCUGGGUUUGAUCCCUGGCUGGAGAA